AGAGGCAAUGCGGACGUCACGGUGGGCUGUAUGCACCUCAGUCGUCAAAGUUCCCAUAGCUUGCUGGAGACUCUGCACAUCGCGGCUGAUCCCUGUGGUGGUGGUGAAAAUCUGCCUCAAAACCUGAUUGUCCAUAUCAAGCUGGGGUAGGGGUGGAGGAAUUUGAGGCAUGUCAAGGUCUGCAUCUGCUUGACCUUCCUCAUUCAAUUGCCGUCGUCGUCGUGCGUUUUCUAAUUUCUGUUGGUGCUUCAGUCUUACUCGGUCUUGGGCCUCUAGUGUGGAUUGCUUGAUAAAGGGGCUUGGCUUUUCUGGUGCUUCCCCGGGUUGGAUUUGUAUUCCCG
rnacentral:lncRNA from 1 species